GGGGGGAUUCCCGAGUGGCCAAAGGGGACAGACUGUAAAUCUGCUGGCAGUGCCUUCGGAGGUUCGAAUCCUCCUCCCCCCA
rnacentral:tRNA from 1 species